GUGAGCCUAGUGAUAGGAAACUAUCUAGCUUGGUUCGAAGAGCACUUGUUGGGUUAAAUAUUUUUAGGUUGCUAAAUGUUACUGCCUAAAUGAUGAAUUAUUGACCCUAC
rnacentral:ncRNA from 1 species